AUUUUGUUUCAGAAAAAAUCUACGCAACUUUGUUUGUCUUUCUCCUUGUGAUAGCGGGAAAAAACACACACACUCGGUCACCAUAGCCGUACCCACCAAACCUUUCGUCGCCAAGAUCAAAUCUUUUCACUCUUUUGAUCUCAAGCCAUGUCUCACGCCAACUGGGAAGCUGAUAAAAUGCUGGAUGUGUAUAUCUAUGAUUAUCUGAUGAAGAGGCAGUUGCAUGCUUCUGCCAGGGCAUUCCAGGCCGAAGGAAAUGUGUCGACCGACCCUGUUGCAAUAGAUGCGCCUAGUGGUUUUCUCUUCGAGUGGUGGUCUGUUUUCUGGGACAUAUAUAUUGCAAGGACCGAUCAGAAACACUCAGAAGCAGCAGCAAUUUAUAGCAAGACCCAACAAAGUAAGGCUCGAGAACUGCAAAAACAUCAAGAGCAAGAGCUUCAGAAUCCAAAUCAGAGACAACAAAUGCAAAUGCAGCUCUAUAUGCAGAGAUAUGCUCAGCAGCAGGAACAGGAGCAGCAGUUACAGGAGCAGCGGCAGCAGCAGCUUAGGGCUCAGCUUGUUAGUGGCAGCAGUAUCCGUCCUAUUAACAAUGAUCCUUCAAUCAGGCAGAAACGUGCAACUUCUAAUGCUAUGGCGACAAGAGUGUAUGAGGACAGGUUGAAGUUGCCACUCCAGAGAGAUGAUUUAGAUGAUGUUGCUCUCAAGCAAAAGGGAAGUGGUAAUGUUGGCCAGCUUCUGGACCCAAAUCAUGCCUCAUUGUUGAAAGGAGUAGCAGUGACAACUGGUGGCCAGGCUACAGGUCAAACGUCUCUCGGUGCACCUAACAUUUUACAAGGCAGUCUUCAACAAGUUCAAAAUCAGAACCAGCAUCUUCCAGGCUCUCUGGACAUGAAAAGUGAUAUGAAUCCAAUGGUUAGACCUCAAGCUGUUAUACCAGAUGGAUCCUUUGUUGGUGGACAUGGUUCAAAUCAAGGUUGUAGCAAUUUGACUCUGAAGGGAUGGCCUCUAGCAGGACUGGAUCAGCUUCGCUCAGAAUUUCUUCAGCAGAAUAAUUUGAUGCAGCCUCCACAUUCUCUCAAUCAUCUUUCAGUGCAGCAGCAACUUAUACUUCAGGCACAACAACAUGCUGUAGGUUCCCCCUCUGCCACUGAUUUUGAGAACAGAAGACUCAGGAUGCUUCUUAAUAAUCCAAAUAUGGGUCUUGUGAAAGAUGGACGACCGAAUUCAGCAUAUGACUCAAUUCCUAAUGUGUUGGCUGCACAAGUGUGUUCUCCGAUGUUGACUCAUCCGGAUACAGAUAUGUUCCUUAAGCAACAAAUGCAAAACAGCAGUCACCAGCUUCAACAACAUCUGCAGCAUCCUCCUUCAAACCAGCAGUUGCAGAAUCUCCAGCGGCAAGGGAAAAUUGGUCCCGGGAGCAAUACACAAGAUGGGUGCAUGUCCACCUUACAAGGAAAUGAUCAGGCUUCCAAAACUCAAGUUGGCCGAAAGCGAAAGCAAGCAUCAUCUUCUGGUCCUGCCAAUAGUUCUGGAACAGCAACCACCACAGGACCAUCUACCAGUUCGCCUUCAACACCAUCUACACAAACGCUCGGAGAUGUGCCAAAUCUGCAACAGAAUGUUCCAUCUUCUAAGUCAUUGCUUAUGUUUGGUACUGAUAGCUUGGGAUCACUUACAUCGGCCCAAAAUCAACUGGCUGAUAUGGACUGCCUUAUUGGUGACGGAACUUUCAGUGACAAUGUUGAGUCGCUCUUUUCUGCUGAUGAUGCAGACCCUAGAGAUAAGAUUGGCAAAGAAUUCUCAUUCAAAGAGACUAAAUGUGUUAUGGCAAGCACACAUAAAGUUGAGUGUUGCCACUUCUCAUCAGAUGGAAAACUGUUUGCUACUGGUGGCCAUGAUAAAAAGGUAUCUUUGUGGUGCACAGAAUCGUUUAACCUGAAGUCGACACUAGAUGAACAUACUCAGUUGAUAACCGAUGUUCGAUUUAGUUCUUCAAGGACAUCGCGCCUUGCUACAUCCUCAGCUGACAAAACUGUUCGGAUUUGGGAUACUGAAAAUCCUGGUUAUUCUCUUCGAACAUUCACAGGACAUGGUUCAACUGUGAUGUCACUAGACUUUCACCCUAGUAAAGACGACCUUAUUUUCUCUUGUGACAAUAAUGAGAUAAGAUACUGGAGUAUUAAAAACGAUGGUUGUGCUGGGGUUUACAAGGGUGGCGUAACUCAGAUGAGAUUUCAACCUCGUUUGGGAAGGCUUCUUGCAGCUGCGGUAGAUAAUCUCAUUUCCAUUAUUGAUGUAGAAACCCUCGGUUGCACACUCAAAUUACAGUUCUGGAAAAUAUCUAGCAUCUCUUAGUGAUGAUCUUGUUAGGGUAUGGACAGUUGGAUCAAGUAGCAAAGGGGAGUGCAUUCAUGAACUCAAUGCAUCCAGGAACAAAUUCAACACCUGUGCCUUCCACCCCUUCUAUCCUUUUCUGAUCAUUGGCUGCAAUGAAGCAAUUGAGCUGUGGGACUUUGUUCAGAACAAGACAUUGACACUGGCUGCUCAUGAAAAGCUUGUAUCAUCGUUGGCAGUAUCUAGUGUUAAUGGUUUGGUUGCUUCAACUAGUCAUGACAAGCAUUUCAAGAUCUGGAACUGAAAAUGCAACUUCUUCAUUAUCAAUGGCAUUGACAAUAACUAUAGGGAUAUCUUUUAGUAUUCAUGAGACCUAUAUUUACAAAUUUUUUAAUAUAUAUUUUAUAUAUUGUAUAUACUAUAUAGGUCAUCUUAGUUCCUAACAUGCUUGUAUAGGUCCGUUUUUGGGAGGGAUAUUUGCAUAGGUAACUUGAGAAAUUUUAGAUAUGUUUUGGAUUUUGGCUCAGUCCCUCUUAUAGCUCAUAGUAGGCAUACAAUCGGUUUGAUGAAUUUUCAUACUCCUCAACUUUAAAAUAGAAACACACUAGGGUUUAUGCUAUGGUGUGGUAAUUGGUAAACCUCAGUGCAAAUACUGAAAUUGAAAUAGUGAUGAUUAAUUAUAGAAGUAUUUGACUUUCUUUUUUUCCUUGUGUAUGUCUCUGUUUUUUUUCUUAAUAAAGUGCGUUUUUUAUUUACUAUUGUAUGUUCACAUUUUAAAUGACUGAUUUGGUGAGUAAUUUUUUGUAUGCAAAAAAUAUGAUUUUGGUGAUGUGUUAUUUUUGUAUGUUUUGGUUUUCAAUUUGUCCAUUUUUCUAAAUGUGUUGCAUUUGAGUAAAUCUAUAUAAUGAUUCAUGAGAUUUACGUGAUUAUCCAAUUUGGUUUUCGAGGUUUUA